AGAGUUUGAUCCUGGCUCAGGAUGAACGCUAGCGGCAGGCUUAACACAUGCAAGUCGAGGGGCAGCACGAUGUAGCAAUACAUUGGUGGCGACCGGCGCACGGGUGCGUAACACGUAUGGAACUUGCCCUAUACUGGGAGAUAGCCCGGAGAAAUCCGGAUUAAUAUCCCAUAACAAGUGAGGUGGCAUCAUCUUGCUUUGAAAGCUCCGGCGGUAUAGGAUGGCCAUGCGCACGAUUAGCUAGUUGGUGAGGUAACGGCUCACCAAGGCUACGAUCGUUAGGGGGCCUGAGAGGGUUAUCCCCCACACUGGUACUGAGACACGGACCAGACUCCUACGGGAGGCAGCAGUGAGGAAUAUUGCGCAAUGGAGGCAACUCUGACGCAGCCAUGCCGCGUGCAGGAAGAAGGCGCUACGCGUUGUAAACUGCUUUUAACCGGGAAGAAACCCCAGGACGUGUCCUGGGUUGACGGUACCGGAGGAAUAAGCACCGGCUAACUACGUGCCAGCAGCCGCGGUAAU
rnacentral:rRNA from 1 species